AAAAUGAAAGGAAAAAUAUUUCAACCCAGCUCUCGGUCUAAAAGAGGACAGAAUGCUUUCUUUAAAAAAAAGGUCUAUGAAUUAGUUUUCCUGAUCUAACUUCUAAUUUUCUGUAUGUUCUGCCAUUUGUGGGAAAUAUUUCUUGGUUUCAGAUUGUUGAUGUUAUUGUUGGGAAAGACGAAAAAGGCAGAAAGAUCCCAGAAUAUCUGAUCCAUUUUAAUGGUUGGAACAGAAGCUGGGAUAGAUGGGCAGCCGAAGAUCAUGUGCUUCGUGAUACCGAUGAAAAUCGUAGAUUACAGCGUAAAUUGGCAAGAAAAGCUGUAGCUCGCCUGAGGAGCACAGGAAGAAAGAAGAAGCGCUGCAGGUUGCCUGGUGUUGACUCUGUCUUAAAAGGCCUCCCCACUGAAGAAAAAGAUGAAAAUGAUGAAAACUGUGAGUAGCUUCACUUCAUUUCCUUUGGCUGAAAGAACUUCCACCUAGAUUGAGAGAAGGAUUCACUGAAAUUCUAGACAGGGAAACACUUCAAGCUCAUUAUGUAUAAUAUUUGCC
rnacentral:sRNA from 1 species